GAGGGUGUAGUUUAGAGAUAGAGCACAUACUUGGCGUGCAUGAGGUCCUGGGUUCAAUCCCCACUGCCUCA
rnacentral:tRNA from 1 species